AACGCUAGCUACAGGCUUAACACAUGCAAGUCGCGGGGCAGCAUGAAUUUAGCUUGCUAAGGAAGAUGGCGACCGGCGCACGGGUGAGUAACGCGUAUCCAACCUUCCCUUAUCCACGGGAUAGCCCGUCGAAAGGCGGAUUAAUACCGUAUGAGGUCAUUUGAUGGCAUCUGAUUAUGACGAAAGGUUUGGCGGAUAAGGAUGGGGAUGCGUCCGAUUAGCUUGUUGGCGGGGUAACGGCCCACCAAGGCGACGAUCGGUAGGGGUUCUGAGAGGAAGGUCCCCCACAUUGGAACUGAGACACGGUCCAAACUCCUACGGGAGGCAGCAGUGAGGAAUAUUGGUCAAUGGGCGAGAGCCUGAACCAGCCAAGUAGCGUGCAGGAUGACGGCCCUAUGGGUUGUAAACUGCUUUUAUGCGGGGAUAAAGUGAGGGAUGCAUCCCUUUUUGCAGGUACCGCAUGAAUAAGGACCGGCUAAUUCCGUGCCAGCAGCCGCGGUAAUACGAAAGGUCCGGGCGUUAUCCGGAUUUAUUGGGUUUAAAGGGAGCGUAGGCUGGAGAUUAAGCGUGUUGUGAAAUGCCGAGGCUCAACCGUGGCACUGCAGCGCGAACUGGUUUCCUUGAGUGCGCUGAAAGUGGGCGGAAUUUGUGGUGUAGCGGUGAAAUGCUUAGAUAUCACGAAGAACUCCGAUUG
rnacentral:rRNA from 1 species